CGACCUCAGAUCAGACGUGGCGACCCGCUGAAUUUAAGCAUAUUAGUCAGCGGAGGAAAAGAAACUAACGAGGAUUCCCUCAGUAACGGCGAGUGAAGAGGGAAGAGCCCAGCGCCGAAUCCCCGCCCCGCGGUGGGGCGCGGGCCAUGUGGCGUACAGAAGCCCCCCUCCCCGGCGGCGCUCUCGGGGGACCCAAGUCCUUGUGAUCGAGGCCGCAGCCCGCGGACGGUGUGAGGCCGGUAGCGGCCCCCCCGCGCGCCCGGCCCCGGGGCUCUCCGGGGCGGGGUG
rnacentral:ncRNA from 1 species